rnacentral:rRNA from 1 species
CGGUCCAGACUCCUACGGGAGGCAGCAGUAGGGAAUCUUCCGCAAUGGGCGAAAGCCUGACGGAGCAACGCCGCGUGAGUGAUGAAGGUCUUCGGAUCGUAAAACUCUGUUAUUAGGGAAGAACAUAUGUGUAAGUAACUGUGCACAUCUUAGACGGUACCUAAUCAGAAAGCCACGGCUAACUACGUGCCAGCAGCCGCGGUAA